AAGUCGUAACAAGGUUUCCGUAGGUGAACCUGCGGAAGGAUCAUUAACACGUAUCCAACGUUAAACAACCCUGUGAACUUUCAACACCGCCGGAAUGAGAUUAACUGCCAACUCCGGUGAAGGCAAGUGACCUGGCACCUGGACCACAUCAAAGCUCUGACAGAGUGCCUCUGGAUCGUGCUUGAAGGGUGACGCAGUAACGAUCGCUGGAGGCCCACACGGCCGGCGACUGGGUCAGCGAGCUAACGCUCCCUCAACAACCACUUAACAUGACGACAGUUCCUCUUUAACUUGAGUUGAGCUAUAACAAAAAACUAUACAACUGUUAACAAUGGAUAUCUUGGUUCUC
rnacentral:misc_RNA from 1 species